rnacentral:rRNA from 1 species
UGGGGAAUAUUGGACAAUGGGGGCAACCCUGAUCCAGCCACGCCGCGUGAGUGAUGAAGGCCUUCGGGUUGUAAAGCUCUUUUGGCGGGGACGAUGAUGACGGUACCCGCAGAAUAAGCCCCGGCUAACUUCGUGCCAGCAGCCGCGGUAAGACGAAGGGGGCUAGCGUUGUUCGGAAUUACUGGGCGUAAAGCGAGUGUAGGCGGUUGCCGUAGUCAGGUGUGAAAGCCUUGAGCUCAACUCAAGAAAUGCACUUGAUACUGGGUGACUAGAGGACCGGAGAGGAUAGUGGAAUUCCCAGCGUAGUGGUGAAAUACGUAGAGAUUGGGAAGAACACCAGUGGCGAAGGCGGCUAUCUGGACGGUUACUGACGCUAAGACUCGAAAGCGUGGGGAGCAAACAGGAUUAGAUACCCUGGUAGUCCACGCCGUAAACGAUGGGUGCUAGACGUUGGCGAGCUUGCUCGUCAGUGUCGCAGCUAACGCGUUAAGCACCCCGCCUGGGGAGUACGGCCGCAAGGUUGAAACUCAAAUGAAUUGACGGGGUCAUAGCUGUUUUCCU